CAGAGACAUUGACAGCUGAUGGUGCUCACAGGCUGAAGCUGUCAGUAAACUGCAAAAUGAAAGCACAUAGCCACCUAUACAGUAAGCAGGGUGAGGAACGGCCCCUCGCUCCUGGAAGGGCAGAAUAAGAUAUGAGACUGCCACUGACCCCAGAGCUGGCCAAGUCCAGUGAGUCCUGUGAGCCAGCUUGCUGCAGGCUCCUUCCUGCCUCUGCCUCCUGAGUGCUGGGAUUACAGGAGGCUAGGCAUGAGACCAACAGCUCGGUCGCACCCUGCUUCCUAUUGAUGAGCAGGAGGGUGCUGUCCGGAAAUCUGCCCCAGCAGCUAGAAACCAACAACACAUCCACAGCUCCAAU